UUUAGAGAGAGUUUCUCUAAUGUGUCAGGCUCUAUUUUUGGCAGUUAGGAUACAAAAGAAAACACAAAUUCCUGCCCUGGAGAAAUUUAUGUUCUAGUGUGCAGAGACACACAAUAAAGAUGAGUAAGCCAACUAAAUCAUACUUUAAGUAUUAGAAGGAAAAAAAGUAAAGGAGGAGAAUAAGAAAUACUGGGAAUAGGGGGUGCCAUGAUUUAAAAUAGGACAAAUAAGAGAGAGGCAAACCAUAAGAGACUCUUAAAUACAGAGAACAAACUAAGGGUUGAGGGGAGUAGAGGCUGGGUUAAAUGGGUGAUGGGCAUUAAGGAGGGCACUUGUUGGGAUGAGCACUGGGUGUUAUACUUAAGUGACGAAUUACUGGGUUCCACUCCUGAAGCCAAGACUACAAUGUACGUUAACUAUUUUGAGAAUAAAAAAAAAUAAAAUAGGGUGGCAAGUAGAGGAGUGACUGAAAGGAUGGCUUUGGGGAACAGAGAGAGGAAGGAGGACAAACGGGAGAGGGCUAGAAAGAGAGGGAGACACAGAAUCCGAAGCAGGCUAUAGGCUCUGAGCUGUCAGCACAGAGCCCGACGCGGGGCUCGAACUCACGGACUGCGAGAUCAUGACCGAAGUCGGCCGCUUAACCGACUGAGCCACCCAGCCGCCCCUAGUUUUAGAUUCUUAUGCUGCUUAAUCUCUCCCUCCAGCUCCCCUAUGCUCUAGUCUAAGAAAAAUGGGUCCAAGGAAAUUAAGAUCUAUUUUUUUCUGAUUAAAUUGCUCAACCCUUCAGACGGUGAAUAAAAUAGAACAUCUUAUAAGGCCCUUUUUGUUGUUGUUAUUGUUAAGAGAACAAGUAGUACUUUGCCAAAUACUCUGUACCCCCAAAUCCAGCUAGGCGCUCGACCGCUUCUGCUGAUCUCGCAGCGGGGUUUCAGAAAAGCACCACCUGCUGGUCCUACAUGCCUCUUACUUCCUCGGCACCAAACUCUCUCGUGGGCCUGCAUUCUUUCAAUCUUCAGCACCUAAUUACAAGUAAAGUACAAUACAAAGCAGUUAGAACGGCCAGGGCAGUGAAACUACAGGUCUCCAAAGGCAAGAAAAAGCAGGUAUCUAACAGCUCGCUCCACGGUUGGGUCGUGGGGAACAGGACGCAGAGGGGGUUGGCACAGGCUCCCCGGUGCAAGGCGCUACUUCCGCCCCGCGCGGCCCCGCCCCCGCGACGCGACGGGAGGUCACGUGACAGCCGCGCGCGUUCCCGGCCGCUGCGGGCUCCGAGGCCGAAGAGAAAAGACUGCGAGACGGCCGCGGUUGUGGCUAGAGAGCACAGAAUGAACCCACAGUGGAAGAGAAAAUACUGCAAACUGUUUGACUGCUGGUGAAGAUGGUCUUUUAUUUUUGUGACAGACAACUGUGGGAUCUGUAGUAGAAACGAUGGCUGGCUGUGGUGAAAUUGAUCACUCAAUAAACAUGCUUCCUACGAACAGGAAAGCGAAUGAGUCCUGUUCUAAUACUGCACCUUCUCUAACUGUCCCUGAAUGUGCCAUUUGUCUGCAAACAUGUGUUCACCCAGUCAGUCUCCCUUGUAAGCAUGUUUUCUGCUAUCUGUGCGUAAAGGGAGCUUCAUGGCUUGGAAAGCGAUGUGCCCUCUGUCGACAAGAAAUUCCCGAAGAUUUCCUUGACAAGCCAACCUUAUUGUCACCAGAAGAACUCAAGGCAGCGAGUAGAGGAAAUG
ensembl:lncRNA